UAAUACGAAGGGAGCUAGCGUUGUUCGGAAUCACUGGGCGUAAAGCGCACGUAGGCGGGUUUGUCAGUCAGGGGUGAAAUCCCGGGGCUCAACCUCGGAACUGCCCUUGAUACAGCAAGCCUUAGAGUCCGGAAGAGGUGGGUGGAAUUCCUAGUGUAGAGGUGAAAUUCGUAGAUAUUAGGAAGAACACCGGUGGCGAAGGCGGCCCACUGGUCCGGCACUGACGCUGAGGUGCGAAAGCGUGGGGAGCAAACAG
rnacentral:rRNA from 1 species